rfam:Oryza nivara chromosome 5, whole genome shotgun sequence.
UUUAAAUAUGAUCAUGGGUUCAUGUGUUCAAUUUUGACCAUUCGUCUUAUUUGAAAUUGUUUUGUAAUUAGUAUUUUUGUUGUUAUUAUAAUAACAAUAUGGAUAUAUAGUACUUUGUGUGACUUAUUUUUUAAAUUUUUUUUCAUAUUUAUUUAAAAUAAGAUGGACGAUCAAAUGUUAGACACGAAAACUCAUUACUGCACUUAAA